UUUUGAGGGGGGUGCGAGCCCGGGAGAGGACAAGAGUCCUUGCAGAUCCAUGGGAAAUGUGACCAGAUGGAAAGCAGGCCUCUGUGGGCCAGCGCUGUCCAAAAGAACUAUAAUGCGAGCCACACGUAUCAUUUAAAAUUUUCUGGAGCCACAUUAAAAGAAGAAAAUGAAACAGAUCUGGACUUGGUUGGUCUGGGAUGAAGCCUGAGAUUCUGCGUUUUCAAAGAACAUCGGGUAUGAUGAUGCUGCUGCUGCGUGGACGACACUUUGAGUAGCAAGGACGUGAACACACUAAUUCAUGCCUCGAAUGGUUGGCAAGCAACAUGGAAGGGGAUAAAGAUGGAAUUUCCCUAAGCCAUGGAGAGCUUUUGGCUUGAGUUCUUUCUAAGCUGUGGCAAUAAUUGUAGCUCAUUUCUAUUGUGCACCUACUCUGUGCCAGAGACUGUGUUCUGAGCUUUAUACUAAGGGUCUGCAAACUGUGGCUGCCCUCCAGAUAUGGCCACUUCCCGUUUUGGUAAAUAAAGUAUUAUUGGAAUCCAGCCACACCCAUUUGUUUACACAUUGUCACAGCCGCCUUCACGGUGCAACGGUAGAGUUGAAUAGUUGCAACAGAGACCAUAUGGUGUGCAAAGCCUAAAAUAUUUACCAUCUGGCCCUCUACAGAAACAUUUUGCCAACCCCUUGCACAUCAUCUCAUUUAAUUCUCAUCGCAUUAUCCAGGGGGCUAAGUCCUGUUACUGUCCCCUUUUACAAAUGAACCAACAGAGGCUUAGAAUCUUCGAGGCACUUGCCCAAGGUGCAGUCAAAGGGACAGAGCUGGUCCUCAUGCCCAGGCUGACUUAGACCAGAGAGGCCAACACCCAGGCUCUCUCCGCUAUGCUAGUCUCCUGGAAAUAGGAGCGGCUUCUAGAAAGUGAGAACAUCAAUGUGUGAGCAGAAGUCAGAGUGAGAUCAGGUCGUUGUUCUGCGGAAAGGUAGCAAUACACGGAUUCCUUGAACACCCACUGUGUGCCAGCAUGGG